GACGAACGCUGGCGGCGUGCCUAAUACAUGCCAGUUGAGCGCUGAAGGUUGGUACUUGUACCAACUGGAUGAGCAGCGAACGGGUGAGUAACGCGUGGGGAAUCUGCUUUUGAGCGGGGGACACCUUUGGAAACGGAAUGUAAAUCCCGAAUAAAACCUUAAACAACAAGUUUAAGGUUUGAAAGAUGAAUUUGCUUCACUAAAAGUUGAUCCGGGUUGUAUUAGGUAGUUGGUGAGGUAAAGGGUCACCAAGGCGAUGAUACAUAGCCGACCUGAGAGGGUGAUCGGCCACAUUGGGACUGAGACACGGCCCAAACUCCUACGGGAGGCAGCAGUAGGGAAUCUUCGGCAAUGGACGAAAGUCUGACCGAGCAACGCCGCGUGAGUGAAGAAGGUUUUCGGAUCGUAAAACUCUGUUGGUAGAGAAGAACGUUGGUGAGAGUGGAAAGCUCAUCAAGUGACGGUAACUACCCAGAAAGGGACGGCUAACUACGUG
rnacentral:rRNA from 1 species